rnacentral:rRNA from 1 species
GAUGAACGCUGGCGGCGUGCCUAAUACAUGCAAGUCGAGCGAACGGACGAGAAGCUUACUUCUCUGAUGUUAGCGGCGGACGGGUGAGUAACACGUGGAUAACCUACCUAUAAGACUGGGAUAACUUCGGGAAACCGGAGCUAAUACCGGAUAAUAUUUUGAACCGCAUGGUUCAAAAGUGAAAGACGGUCUUGCUGUCACUUAUAGAUGGAUCCGCGCUGCAUUAGCUAGUUGGUAAGGUAACGGCUUACCAAGGCAACGAUGCAUAGCCGACCUGAGAGGGUGAUCGGCCACACUGGAACUGAGACACGGUCCAGACUCCUACGGGAGGCAGCAGUAGGGAAUCUUCCGCAAUGGGCGAAAGCCUGACGGAGCAACGCCGCGUGAGUGAUGAAGGUCUUCGGAUCGUAAAACUCUGUUAUUAGGGAAGAACAUAUGUGUAAGUAACUGUGCACAUCUUGACGGUACCUAAUCAGAGAGCCACGGCUAACUACGUG